GAUGAACGCUAGCGGCAGGCCUAAUACAUGCAAGUCGAGGGGUAGAGCAGGCUUGCUUGCUUGAGACCGGCGCACGGGUGCGUAACGCGUAUGCAACCUACCCUUUUCUGGGGGAUAGCCCGGAGAAAUCCGGAUUAAUACCGCAUAAGACCACACGGCGGCAUCGUCGAGGGGUCAAACAUUUAUGGGAGAAGGAUGGGCAUGCGUGCCAUUAGCUAGUUGGCGGGGUAACGGCCCACCAAGGCUACGAUGGCUAGGGGAUCUGAGAGGAUGGCCCCCCACACUGGUACUGAGACACGGACCAGACUCCUACGGGAGGCAGCAGUAAGGAAUAUUGGUCAAUGGGCGCAAGCCUGAACCAGCCAUGCCGCGUGCAGGAAGACGGCCCUCCGGGUUGUAAACUGCUUUUGUACGGGAAUAAACCUUUCUUCGUGAAGAAAGCUGAAUUACCGU
rnacentral:rRNA from 1 species